AUUGAACGCUGGCGGCAUGCCUUACACAUGCAAGUCGAACGGCAGCGGACCUUCGGGUGCCGGCGAGUGGCGAACGGGUGAGUAAUAUAUCGGAACGUACCUUUCAGUGGGGGAUAACGUAGCGAAAGUUACGCUAAUACCGCAUAUUCUGUGAGCAGGAAAGCAGGGGAUCGCAAGACCUUGCGCUGAUUGAGCGGCCGAUAUCAGAUUAGCUAGUUGGUGAGGUAAAGGCUCACCAAGGCGACGAUCUGUAGCGGGUCUGAGAGGAUGAUCCGCCACACUGGAACUGAGACACGGUCCAGACUCCUACGGGAGGCAGCAGUGGGGAAUUUUGGACAAUGGGCGCAAGCCUGAUCCAGCCAUGCCGCGUGAGUGAAGAAGGCCUCGGUUGGUAAGUACGUCUUUCGGUCCGGGACGGAAUAC
rnacentral:rRNA from 1 species